rnacentral:snRNA from 1 species
GUGCUUGCUCAGCAGCACAUAUACUAUAAUUGGAAUGAUAGAGAGUCUAGCAUGGCCCACUGUGCAGGGAUGACCCUCAAAUUUGUGAAGCCUUCCAUAUCUUA